GGACGAACGCUGGCGGCGUGCUUAACACAUGCAAGUCGAACGGAAAGGCCCUGCUUUUGUGGGGUGCUCGAGUGGCGAACGGGUGAGUAACACGUGAGUAACCUGCCCUUGACUUUGGGAUAACUUCAGGAAACUGGGGCUAAUACCGGAUAGGAGCUCCUGCUGCAUGGUGGGGGUUGGAAAGUUUCGGCGGUUGGGGAUGGACUCGCGGCUUAUCAGCUUGGUGGUGGGGUAGUGGCUUACCAAGGCUUUGACGGGUAGCCGGCCUGAGAGGGUGACCGGCCCCAUUGGGACUGAGAUACGGCCCAGACUCCUACGGGAGGCAGCAGUGGGGAAUAUUGCACAAUGGGCGGAAGCCUGAUGCAGCAACGCCGCGUGCGGGAUGACGGCCUUCGGGUUGUAAACCGCUUUCGCCUGUGACGAAGCGUGAGUGACGGUAAUGGGUAAAGAAGCACCGGCUAACUACGUG
rnacentral:rRNA from 1 species